rnacentral:rRNA from 1 species
GACGAACGCUGGCGGCGUGCUUAACACAUGCAAGUCGAACGGAAAGGCCCUGCUUUUGUGGGGUGCUCGAGUGGCGAACGGGUGAGUAACACGUGAGUAACCUGCCCUUGACUUUGGGAUAACUUCAGGAAACUGGGGCUAAUACCGGAUAGGAGCUCCGGCUGCAUGGUGGGGGUUGGAAAGUUUCGGCGGUUGGGGAUGGACUCGCGGCUUAUCAGCUUGUUGGUGGGGUAGUGGCUUACCAAGGCUUUGCCGGGUAGCCGGCCUGAGAGGGUGACCGGCCACAUUGGGACUGAGAUGCGGCCCAGACUCCUACGGGAGGCAGCAGUGGGGAAUAUUGCACAAUGGGCGGAAGCCUUAUGCAGCAACGCCGCGUGCGGGAUGACGGCCUUCGGGUUGUAAACCGCUUUCGCCUGUGACGAAGCGUGAGUGACGGUAAUGGGUAAAGAAGCACCGGCUAACUACGUG